rnacentral:rRNA from 1 species
AACGUAGGAGACAAACGUUAUCCGGAGUUACUGGGCGUAAAGGGCGUGUAGGUGGUUGUGUAAGUUCGGCGUGAAAUCUCUCGGCUUAACCGGGAGUGGUCGUCGGAUACUGCACGACUAGAGGACGGUAGAGGCGUGUGGAAUUCCGGGUUUAGUGGUGAAAUGCGUAGAGAUCCGGAGGAACACCAGUGGCGAAGGCGACACGCUGGGCCGUACCUGACACUGAGGCGCGAUAGCAUGGGGAGCAAACAGG